rnacentral:lncRNA from 1 species
AUAUAUGCAAAAGUGAAAAAUAAAUGGCUGAAACUCUCAAUUUUAUUUAUAGUGUGAUACUUUUUGUUUCCCUUUUUAUCGUUGUAGUCAUUAGUAAAAGUAAGUUCAUUCUCAUAAAUCAUAAUUUCCUUUGUUUAUGUUAUACACAAUGUUUCACCCAUUUUACUAAUAUUUCCUACUUAUUGGACAUUACAGCAGAAUGCAUCGAUAACAGCGAUUGCAUUAAAUUAUAUCCAGAUACUAUGCUAAAAUGGUGCGUGAAAGGUCUUUGUAUAUGCCCAUUUACAUGGUAAAUCUUAUUGGAAAAUGCUAAACAGUGCCCCCGGGGCACUAGUUAAGGAUAUAAAUAUGGAAAUUUCAUCUCGUAAAUUGUGCAUUCAAUGCUUUAAUAUGUAAAAAGUUAUUCUCUCUCAUCAUUAACUUUUUCAUUUGUUUCUUUUUUUAGUAUGCUUAACUAGUGCCCCGGGGGCACUGUUUAGCAUGACCCAAUCUUAUUUCUCUAUUAUGACACUCCAGUUUCCUUGUUCAUUUUAAUGUUAACUCUUAUAAUAUCUCCUAUACUCUCAUAUUUUUCGAUCAUGUAAUUUUUUUACAACCUUAAAAGCAUGUUAACAAAAUUAUUUUUGAAUUGAAUAUAUAUAUAACUUUCAAGCGAGAGCAGUGGCGAUUUCACCACCAGGCAUGUCAGGCACGUGCCUAGGCUGCCAAUUUUUAAUUUUUUUUUAUAAUAAAACAAAAGAAAUAAAUACUACCAAAAAAAACAAAAGAAAUAAAAAUAUUAGUUGCUUUUUUAUUAAAACAGAAGAAAUUAAGCUUUCUCUUUCUCUCUCAAUCCUUACAGUCGCCGCUCUCUCUCUGUGUCUCGGAAAGGGAAUUUACCUCAUAGUUUUAUGUAGUACACUAUUGGUAUGUUAUAUUUCAUCCCCUUUAUUUGACUCAUAUUUUGCUGAUUUAAAUAUUACUGUAUCCAGAAAUUUGGUUGAUAAAAUUCCCUCCAAAAUUUUGUCUAGGCUCUCUAACAUUCCUGGAAUCGCCACUGAGCGAGAGGGAUUUUAAAAUGGGAGGAUGUCUCACCCAUUGGAUAAAACUUUAUCGUGUUGCCUAAUUUUUCUAACGGUAGAUAAUCUCUUUUACACUUCAUCCCUACGCAUAAAAACCAUGCAGCAGUGCCACUCUUGCUACUGAUUUUAGAUAGAGGAACAAAGAAACAUUGGUUCCCUUUAUAAGGCCAUGGCUGUCGCCGUUGUAACGGAUUAUGUUGUUGCCGUCAAUUAAUACGUUGUGGCCGAUUGACAUCCUCCGUGCGUCCUCUAUGGCGGUAAACUUUUUUAUUUAGUUAAUCAUAAACCAUGGGGAAUGACAAAUUGAGUAUUGAAUUUUUUCGAUUAGGAUUGGAUUUAUUUUUUUAUUUUUUUCUGAAUAGCAGAAUUGGGUUAUUUAAAAAUCCNNNNNNNNNNNNNNNNNNNNNNNNNNNNNNNNNNNNNNNNNNNAGAUAUAAAUGAAAAAACCAUAAAAAAAAAAAGGAAGUUAAGGGCAAUUAUGAAAUAAUUAAAAAACCAUAAAGGAAGUUAAGGGCAAAAUGGACCAAAAAAAAUCCAGCCCAAACUUCCUUAUCCCCUUUAUAUAUCGUUAUAGAUAUAGAUUUAUAAAUCAAAAUUUCUUAUAUAUUUCAUUGUUAUUGUUAAUAGAAAAGUAUAAUAAAUCAUAUCAUAUAUAUAAUAAUAUAUUAACAUAAUGGAUCAAUUUGAUUUGCCAUAUUCCAAAUCAACCAUUAAUUAAUAGUGAAUGUGAUGUUCUAAUAAUUUUAUUUAAAAAUAACUUAAAUGUAAAAGGUGAGUAAAACAUAUCAGAGAUUCAACCUAAGGAAGAUGUAAAAGGAUGAAAAUUUGGAAUGCAUCAACAAAGGCAAAAUCUAGAGACAACUAGAAAUUAGGCAAUUAACAGUAGGCAAUUAAAAUUGAUAGAAAAAAGAUGAACGCAGAAAGAUGAAGAAUGGCAGCGAGAGACAAAGAUGAAAGAUGAGGAGAAACUGUUCCAAAUUCCAAUUCUCGUUCAGUGAAGGAAAAGAGAGAGUGUGAGGUUAAUAAAAGCAUCUAAUCUCAACCAUUAAUUUAAUCUGAUAGUUGAGAUUUAACUCUCUCACCAUCUCAUUUUAAAAUUCUUGUUACUUGAAAGUUCCCCAUAUAACAAAUUAUUGCAAGGGGGUCUCGCUAACGAGUGUCUCCGGGGCACUCUUUAAGCAUUUCAUUAAAAGAAACUUUUUAUUUAAAAAAUUAAAUACUCUAAUUUCCAAUGCGUUGAUUUUACGUAUUUCCAUAAAAAUUCUAUAAAAAACUUACUAUUUAAGGGCUUAAAGAAUGCCUCGGGAACACUAUUUAGCAUUUGCAACAAAUUAUUGCAAGGGGUAAUCCAACAAAUGCAACAAAAUUCAAAGACCUAGCAUAUUUAAUAUAUUGUGAAAUUUUUGAUAUCAUUGUUUGUGGUGGAACCAUGUUGAAAUUUUUAAGGAUACAUAUAACCUAUUGAAGUCGUUGGAAAAAUGCGCGGGCGAAAAGAAAAAUAUCGAUAAAACCUUGAAAGAAACGGAAAGAUGGUCAACGCCACAAUUUUCGAGUUCGGGAGUCGAUUAUGUAAGGGGUUUAUUAGCACCCCUCACAUCGAUUGUACCAACGGGAACCGUUAAUUAAUUUAGCGCUUAAUUACGUGUUAGUUUUAUGUUUGUUUCCUUAUUAUUAAAGGCGAAUGAAAAAUUGGAAAAUGUUUUGAUUUUAAAUAGAGGGAAAAAUAAUUUUUUAUUAUUGUGGUUGACAAGAGUAGUAUCUUGCUCCUACGUAUCCCCCGAUGCGAUGGAGAAAUCAAAGCUACGUAGUUCUGGAUAUAAAAUACUUGUUGGUUGGUUAUUUUAGAGAACGAUGCUUAGGUCGCAUGCUUGUGGUUAAACGUAUAGCUUGUAUGCUCGCGCGUGGGAGUCUUAAGCUUGUUUGUAUCACGUUAGAAUGAAUAAAACAUUUGUGAAAAGAAAUUUGGUGUGGAAAAAUUGAUUUGGUGUGUUGAGUUUGUUUUAAGCGUGGAAGACGAACAUCCGACUGAAAGCAAAGAGCCUACCUCAUUACGAAUAUUCGGGGAAGUGUCGUGUGUCCACCCGAUUUUUCUUUUUUCACUCGCAUGAAAAAUUGUUUUAUUAUUUUUUGUUUUAUUAAGAAUUUAAUUGAAAGACGAAUACUUUGAAUGUGAUCGAGAUGGGGAUCACGAGUUCCGCAUUCGAGAAAGCGUCAGGUCUCUCCCAAUUUUUUUCUUUUUUCGGUCGAUUAAACUAUUAAUGUUUAUUUUUAAAUGUUUGAGAUGUUUUUUAUAACGACCUAAAAUUAAAUAUUAGUAGUUAAUUGAUUAAUUUGUAUUAUGUGUAUUUUUUGUGGUUAAUUGCAUUAUAGUAACUAAUUAUGUGUAAUUGUUAUUUAUUAAUUGGGUAAAGUAAUUAAUUGGUAGAAUAAUAAUAGUUGGGCUUAUGAGUGGGCCUAGAGUUAAUGCUAGAGUGUUACCAAUUAGUAAGUGAAGAGGUGUAGAUAUAGAAAGAGUAGAGGAUAGGGUUUUAGUAAGAUAGAGAGAGAAAAUCAUAAGUUUGAAAAAAAAUAAAAAGGUAGAAAGAGAAAGUGAAGUUCUUAGAGGAAGAAAAGAAAAGCCAAGUUAAUUAGAGAGGAAGAUUGAAGAGGAAGGACUAUAGAAUCAAGAGAAUCAAGGUAUGAGAGUAGUAUUUGUUCAUCUAGAGUGAUUCAAUGGAAGAGGAAAAAUCUUACUUUCUCCAUCCCUUUCUUCCUACACUCUAAUUUGGGAUUUUUGGUAAUUUAAUGAUAAAAGAAAUGAUAUCUUUUGGAUUCCAUUAUGUUUGUUAAACUUAUUACUAAUUAGAUGUACGGAUUUUGGGUUAUAAAGAUGGAAAAUUGUAGAUCUUUGUAAUGAUUUAAAUGUGUUUAUGAGUUUUGAAUAAAAAUGGUUUAAUCUCAUGAAUUUGACAUGUUUUGAUGUAAAUGUGUGACCUUGAUUGUACUUUUAUGUUUAGUAUGAUCAUGUAUGCUCAAAGUUUCCAUUUUUAUGUGUUUAUAAUUUGGAAUUGGUGAUUUGGAAGGGUUUUACGUGGAAGCCCGAAGCAGGGAACACCUGAAUUGGUGUGNNNNNNNNNCUUAGCGAGCUGGCCUGUUCAUCCUGUUCUUGAGACAUGAUGAAGGCUCGUCUAGCGAGACACUCUCGCCGAGUCUCGCCAAGGCUCGUGUCAGGCCUCGCUUUGAUCCUGAAGCUUUCGGUUUUGCGUCACUGUGACCAUACUAGCUCUCGCUAAGUGAUGGUAGCAGGACAUGAUUUUGUGAUUUCAAUUCUAAAUAAUGAUAUGUUUGAAUCAUGUGUAUAACUUGCUUGGAUUGUGAAAUAAAAAUUGUAUGUGUAGAUAAUUAUUUAUGGUAAUAAUUAUGAUUGAUGGAAGUACGUGAAUUAUGUGAUUGAUGCUAAUGUUGAGGUAAAUAUAUAUUUGUACAUAUGGUGAUGUAAGUAUCAUAUGGUUGAUACGUAAAUAUGUUCAUGCAUUCAUGAUGUAUGUUAUACCUCUUGAAGGUAGGAAAUCCAAAUGUUGUUGUUCAAGUGCAUAGCCGUGAGUAGAGCUGUCAAAAUGGGCUAACCCGAAUGGGCCGGCCCGCCAAGCCCGAUUUUUUCCCGGGCUUGGGCCUCGAAAAAUAUCGGGUGAGAGAAACUCAUAAGUAGUGGGUGAGUAAAAAUAGAGCAUGCAAAAAACUCGUAGGUAGCAUAUGAGUAAAAAUAAGGCGCGCGGGAAACUUAUAGGUAGCGGCUGAGUAAAAAUAGGGCGCGCGAGAAUUUUUUAUCCUAUAUACAUUAUAUGUAUAAUAUAAGAGUAUUGAAUUAUUGAUUAACAUAGCGUAAUAAUUAAUUUGAAAGUCCAAUUUUGGUAUGCACAACAAAGCGUAGUAGUUUUUUAGUUAUUUAUAAUAUUGAGUUUGAACAUAAAAAGUAAAAUUAAAAAAAUUAAAUAAAAAAUUUGGGUCGGCCCGAAAGCCCGACAACCCGUACCGGGCCGGGCUUGGACACUAAUUUUCAUAGCCCGUUUUUAUCCGGAAUUUUUAGCCCGGCCCGAUAAAGCCCGAAUUGAGUUGGGCCGCCCGUUUUGAGAGCUCUAGUCGUGAGCUAGGGAGGUGCACAAUGGGAUAUAAGUUUAUGCACAAAGAGGAAUGGUACCGCAUGCAUAUAGAUAUGCAUUAGGAGACAUUACAUCUCUAAAUGACAUUAGUGUGCAUUAGGGACUAUGCAUUCUUUCUUUUUUUUUGGGUCAAGUAGUCUCGUGGUUAGAAAAUUCACCUUAAAAGUGAACAAAUGGAGCGUCCCGGGCUCCUGCACAUAUAGUGCGAUGUCCUUACCAACUGAGCUAAGCUCACGGAGACAGGGACUAUGUAUUCUAUUGAUGAUAAUUGGUAUUUGACAUUGGAAUGACAUAAGCGUAAUUGAUGAUUAUGCGUAUAUAUGUUAUCUAAUUGUUCUCUUAUGGGAUGAAAUGAGUAUGCCUAUUUAGUAGGAUUGUGUAAGAGAAUGUAUGCUUAUGAUAUGCUUUACUUUAAUUCAAGUGUUUAGUAUUCGAGAUUACUUGCACUAUUAUUGAUGUCAAUUAUUAACUCUCUGUUUUGUGUAUGUGUUGGACUUUCGGGGAUCCAGAUUCCCAGGUAGAGGACACCAGCUCUAAGGAGUAGUCGCUUCUUUGCUUUGCUAGCUUGGUGAGGAGUCUAGCGAGUAGCUAUCUCUAGUUUAGUUUGUUGGGUUGUAAUAAGUAGAUGCUCUGAUAUUGUAACAUCUAGUCGAGUUUUCGCGCUAGUAUGUUAUUGAAUCUUUUGUCUAUGUAUGACCUUGCUUUUAUUAUGAUUGUAUGAGGAUGUUAUCCAUGUGUUUGGAUUAUGGCUUUUGGAGAUGUAAGCUUGGAGAAAUACUUCAAUAGGCACAAACCCAAAUAAAAUAGGUUUAGGCACACUUACAUAAAAUAUAAAAAUUAAAGAAAAAAGAAUGAAAAUGAUGAUAUUUGAUGUGACUAAAUUACUUUUGUUUUAAUUUUUUGGAUUUGUGAGUGUGUGCCCAAAUAUAUUGUAUUUGGGUUUGUGCCUAUGUAAGACAUGCUCGUAAGUUUGAUGCAUGAUUACUUAGUAUUUGAAAUGCUAUUUGAAUUAUUCCGUUGUUUAUUAAAUGAAAUAUCUCUGAUGUAUGGUUUUUAAUUAAACCUUAGAAUACUUGCAUGUUUAUUUAAUUAAGUUGUUAAGUACGCGCAAGGUUUUAGGGUGUUACAUUUUUGCCAUCAAAUUAACUAGUAUGUUAGCAUGUGCCAUGCACGGGA